rnacentral:rRNA from 1 species
AACGAACGCUGGCGGCAGGCUUAACACAUGCAAGUCGAGCGCCCCGCAAGGGGAGCGGCAGCCGGGUGAGUAACGCGUGGGAACGUACCUUUUGGUUCGGAACAACUCCGGGAAACUGGAGCUAAUACCGGAUAAGCCCUAACGGGGAAAGAUUUAUCGCCGAAAGAUCGGCCCGCGUCUGAUUAGCUAGUUGGUGAGGUAACGGCUCACCAAGGCGACGAUCAGUAGCUGGUCUGAGAGGAUGAUCAGCCACACUGGGACUGAGACACGGCCCAGACUCCUACGGGAGGCAGCAGUGGGGAAUAUUGGACAAUGGGCGCAAGCCUGAUCCAGCCAUGCCGCGUGAGUGAUGAAGGCCUUAGGGUUGUAAAGCUCUUUUGUCCGGGAAGAUAAUGACUGGACCGGAAGAAUAAGCCCCGGCUAACUUCG